rnacentral:rRNA from 1 species
UACGUAGGGUGCGAGCGUUGUCCGGAAUUACUGGGCGUAAAGAGCUCGUAGGUGGUUUGUCGCGUUGUUCGUGAAAACUCACAGCUUAACUGUGGGCGUGCGGGCGAUACGGGCAGACUGGAGUACUGCAGGGGAGACUGGAAUUCCUGGUGUAGCGGUGGAAUGCGCAGAUAUCAGGAAGAACACCUAUGGCGAAGGCAGCACUCUGGGACGGUACUGACGCUGAGACGCGAAAGCGUGGGGAGCGAACAGG